rnacentral:rRNA from 1 species
AACGAACGCUGGCGGCAGGCUUAACACAUGCAAGUCGAACGAGAUCUCCGGAUCUAGUGGCAGACGGGUGAGGAACACGUGGGAACAUCCCUUUCAGUUCGGAAUAACGUUGGGAAACUAACGCUAAUACCGGAUACGUCCUUCGGGAGAAAGAUUUAUCGCUGAAAGAUUGGCCCGCGUCUGAUUAGCUAGUUGGUGAGGUAACGGCUCACCAAGGCUACGAUCAGUAGCUGAUCUGAGAGGUUGAUCAGCCACAUUGGGACUGAGACACGGCCCAAACUCCUACGGGAGGCAGCAGUGGGGAAUAUUGGACAAUGGGCGCAAGCCUGAUCCAGCCAUGCCGCGUGAGUGAUGACGGCCUUCGGGUUGUAAAGCUCUUUUGUCCGGGAAGAUAAUGACUGUACCGGAAGAAUAAGCCCCGGCAAACUUCGUGCCAGCCGCCGCCGUAA